rnacentral:tRNA from 3 species
GGAGGGAUGGCCGAGUGGUUUAAGGCGGCGGUCUUGAAAACCGCUGACCGAAAGGUCCGUGGGUUCGAAUCCUACUCCCUCCGCCA